AGAGUUUGAUCCUGGCUCAGAACGAACGCUGGCGGCGCGCCUAAUACAUGCAAGUCGAGCGAGAAGGUGUAGCAAUACACUUGUAAAGCGGCGAACGGGUGAGGAAUGCAUGGGUAACCUACCCUCGAGUGGGGAAUAACUAGCCGAAAGGUUAGCUAAUACCGCAUACGUUUCCGGAACUUCGGUUGCGGAAAGAAAGCAAUACCGUGGGUAUUGCGCUCAUGGAUGGGCUCAUGUCCUAUCAGCUUGUUGGUGAGGUAACGGCUCACCAAGGCUUCGACGGGUAGCUGGUCUGAGAGGACGAUCAGC
rnacentral:rRNA from 1 species